rnacentral:rRNA from 1 species
UACAGAGGUGGCAAGCGUUGUUCGGAAUUACUGGGCGUAAGGGGCGCGUAGGUGGCCUUCUUAGUCAGACGUGAAAUCCCCAGGCUUAACCUGGGAACUGCGUCUGAUACUGGAAGGCUUGAGUUCGGGAGAGGAAUGUGGAAUUCCAGGUGUAGCGGUGAAAUGCGUAGAUAUCUGGAGGAACACCGGUGGCGAAGGCGGCAUUCUGGACCGAAACUGACGCUGAGGCGCGAAAGCCAGGGGAGCAAACGGG